UACAGAGGUCUCAAGCGUUGUUCGGAUUCAUUGGGCGUAAAGGGUGCGUAGGCGGCGCGGUAAGUCGGGUGUGAAAUCUCGGAGCUUAACUCCGAAACUGCAUUCGAUACUGCCGUGCUUGAGGACUGGAGAGGAGACUGGAAUUUACGGUGUAGCGGUGAAUGCGUAGAUAUCGUAAGGAACACCAAUGGCGAAGGCGGGUCUCUGGGCCGAUAUUGACGCUGAGGAGCGAAAGCGUGGGGAGCGAACAGG
rnacentral:rRNA from 1 species